rnacentral:lncRNA from 1 species
UGUCUGCAGGGAGCGAAGUGAAAUAAGAUGUUAUGUCUCAUUAGCACAAGGAGCAAGAUACAACAGGAUCUCUCAGACCCUGACAAGCACAACACAGCUGCUGGGGCAAUUAGAGCUGUGAAUCAAAGGAGCCAAGGGAGAUGCUGCAUGAUGAACAUGGUGUGA